rnacentral:rRNA from 1 species
UACAGAGGGGGCAAGCGUUGUUCGGAAUUACUGGGCGUAAAGCGCGUGUAGGCUGCUCAGAAAGUCGGAUGUGAAAGCCCUGGGCUUAACCUAGGAAGUGCAUUCGAAACUUCUGAGCUUGAGUUCUGGAGAGGAAGGCGGAAUUCUCGGUGUAGAGGUGAAAUUCGUAGAUAUCGAGAGGAACACCGGUGGCGAAGGCGGCCUUCUGGACAGUGACUGACGCUGAGACGCGAAAGCGUGGGGAGCAAACAGG